UGGAUCGAUGCUGACCACUGGUGGCGUCUGAGCCCCGUGCGGUGGAUGCCUGACUGGGGGAACCCUGAGGUCCAC
ensembl:snoRNA